CCCGGUGGGGCGCCCCGGCCGGCUCCGAGCUCCCGAGCCAUGGAUGCGCGCGCGGCAGCGGUUCGGCCGGACCUCAGCCACGUUGUCCGUGGCGGCCCGAAGCGGACCUCAGCCUGCGUUCCCACGCCAGCAAUCGGGAGGCUGGUUUGAGUGCAUUUGAGUUUAUUGCUCAUAUAAACUGUGUGCAGGAGUUUUUCAUAGAAGCGAGGGUUUUGGUGGAAGGGAACGGCCUCGUGUGAGCGCACCCUGGCCCGGCGCGAGGUCAGGCCGCGUGGACGCGCCACGCGGCUCGGGGCAGCCCCGCGGUGUCCGGCGCAGAACCUGCGGGAACCGGACGAGUGUCACCAGCUUGGCAGGGGAAAGAUGGCUCUUGAAGCACACACAGACUGCUGCUAGCUGAAUACUACCUGGGAGCACAAAGAUGACCUAAGGGUGUCCUUGGUGAAGAAUUUGAAAACUUGAUCUUCACAGGAAGAGUCUGAGGAGGAACAGAGCUGCCUCUGGACAGUUCAUAAAUAUACAUUUAAAAUAAUGGGCCUGUGAAUAAAUAUUUAAAUGUGCUUCUUGGGGGUUUGUGUAUUUUGUGACUGCCAGAAAACCUUGUUUUAUUUUUUUUUAAAAAUCAGAGUUUCUCCCUCUUCCCCCGGCAACUUCAAAAUUGUAAGAUCUCAGCAGUUAAGAUUAAUAUUCAGUUCUGUAACUGGAAGGCUUAUGAAAUAAAGGUUUAUGCGAGGCCCAAAGAGAAAUGUUGCUUUCCUCCAGUGCCUCAUGGUGAGCUGAACUAGCCUC